rnacentral:rRNA from 1 species
GACGAACGCUGGCGGCGUGCUUAACACAUGCAAGUCGAACGGAAAGGCCUUUUCGGAGGUACUCGAGUGGCGAACGGGUGCGUAACACGUGGGUGAUCUGCCCUGCACUCUGGGAUAAGCCUGGGAAACUGGGUCUAAUACCGGAUAGGACCGCACCUUCGUGUGGGUGGUGGAAAGUUUUUUCGGUGUAGGGUGAGCCCGCGGCCUAUCAGCUUGUUGGUGGGGUAAUGGCGUACCAAGGCGGCGGCGGGUAGCCGCACUGAGGGGUUGGUCGGCCACAUUGAGACUGAGAGACGGCACAGGCGCCGACGGGAGGCAGAAGUGGGGAAGAUUGAUCAAGGGGCGCAAGGCUGAUGCAGCGAGGCCGCGGGGGGGAUGACGGCCUUCGGGUUGAAAACUCCUUUCGCCAGGGACGAAGCGUUUUGUGACGGUACCUGGAGAAGAAGCACCGGCUAACUACGUG